GACAUAGGUGGCAAACGUUAUCCGGAAUUACUGGGCGUAAAGCGCGCGCAGGCGGUCUUCCAAGUCAGUGGUGAAAGCCCGGAGCUCAACUCCGGAACUGCCAUUGAAACUGUGAGACUGGAGUACGAGAGAGGUGAGUGGAAUUCCCAGUGUAGAGGUGAAAUUCGUAGAUAUUGGGAAGAACACCGGUGGCGAAGGCGGCUCACUGGCUCGUAACUGACGCUCAGGCGCGACAGCGUGGGGAUCAAACAGG
rnacentral:rRNA from 1 species